GAUGAAGAACGCAGCGAAAUGCGAUACGUAAUGUGAAUUGCAGAAUUCAGUGAAUCAUCGAAUCUUUGAACGCACAUUGCACUCUCUGGUAUUCCGGAGAGUAUGCUUGUUUGAGUAUCUGUAAACAUCUCAAAUCUCUCUUCGCUUGCGUCGAGAGAAUUGGAUUUGAGCGAUCCCGACUCCUUCGUCAGAAAGAGGAGGGUCGCUUGAAAUGCAGGUGCAGCUGGACAUUCUUCUGAGCUAAAAGCAUAUCUAUUUAGUCCCAUCAAACGGAUUAUUACUUUUGCUUAAGCUAAUAUAAAGGUCGAAUGAACUACCAACGCUGAUUGCAGGAAAACUCGUUUGUAACAGAACUUGUAAACUCGAUCUCAAAUCAAGUAAGACUACCCGCUGAACUUAAGCAUAUCAAUAAGCGGAGGA
rnacentral:misc_RNA from 1 species